GCAAGUCGAACGCGACUGUGGCUUCGGCCACAGUUGAGUGGCGAACGGGUGAGUAACACGUGGGUGACCUACCUUCGAGUGGGGGAUAACGUCCCGAAAGGGACGCUAAUACCGCAUAACAUCCUUCCUUUGAACAGGAGGAGAUCAAGGCUGGGGAUCGUAAGACCUGGCGCUUGAUGAGGGGCCCGCGCCUGAUUAGCUAGUUGGUGGGGUAAUGGCUCACCAAGGCGACGAUCAGUAUCCGGCCUGAGAGGGCGGACGGACACACUGGGACUGAGACACGGCCCAGACUCCUACGGGAGGCAGCAGUGGGGAAUUGUUCGCAAUGGGCGCAAGCCUGACGACGCAACGCCGCGUGGAGGAUGAAGGUCUUCGGAUUGUAAACUCCUGUUGCUCGGGACGAAAAGCUUCGACCUAAUACGUCGAAGUCUGACGGUACCGAGUGAGGAAGCCCCGGCUAACUCUGUGCCAGCAGCCGCGGUAAUACAGAGGGGGCAAGCGUUGUUCGGAAUUACUGGGCGUAAAGGGCGCGUAGGCGGCCUGCUAAGUCGAACGUGAAAUCCCUGGGCUCAACCCAGGAACUGCGUCCGAUACUGGUUGGCUUGAAUUCGGGAGAGGGAUGCGGAAUUCCAGGUGUAGCGGUGAAAUGCGUAGAUAUCUGGAGGAACACCGGUGGCGAAGGCGGCAUCCUGGACCGAGAUUGACGCUGAGGCGCGAAAGCCAGGGGAGCAAACGGGAUUAGAUACCCCGGUAGUCCUGGCCCUAAACGAUGAAUGCUUGGUGUGGCGGGUAUCGAUCCCUGCCGUGCCGAAGCUAACGCAUUAAGCAUUCCGCCUGGGGAGUACGGUCGCAAGGCUG
rnacentral:rRNA from 1 species